GAAGUGAGCCGGAUGGUCGCUGCUGUGGAGGUCUCCGUGACUGAAGCAGGAGAGGAAAGUCCGGGCUUCAUAGGGCAGGGUGCCAGGUAACGCCUGGGCGGUGAAAGCCGACGGAAAGUGCAGCAGAGAGUAGACCGCCUCAUUCGUGAGGUAA
rnacentral:RNase_P_RNA from 1 species